rnacentral:rRNA from 1 species
UACGUAGGGUGCGAGCGUUGUCCGGAAUUAUUGGGCGUAAAGAGCUCGUAGGCGGUUCGUCGCGUCGGCUGUGAAAUCCCGAGGCUCAACCUCGGGUCUGCAGUCGAUACGGGCAAACUAGAGUAUUGCAGGGGAGACUGGAAUUCCUGGUGUAGCGGUGAAAUGCGCAGAUAUCAGGAGGAACACCGGUGGCGAAGGCGGGUCUCUGGGCAAUAACUGACGCUGAGGAGCGAAAGCGUGGGGAGCGAACAGG